rnacentral:rRNA from 1 species
AGAGUUUGAUCCUGGCUCAGGACGAACGCUGGCGGCGUGCUUAACACAUGCAAGUCGAACGAGAAUCUACUGAAAGAGUUUUCGGACAAUGGAUGUAGAGGAAAGUGGCGGACGGGUGAGUAACGCGUGAGGAACCUGCCUUGAAGAGGGGGACAACAGUUGGAAACGACUGCUAAUACCGCAUGAUGCAUAGGGGUCGCAUGAUUCUUAUGCCAAAGAUUUAUCGCUUCAAGAUGGCCUCGCGUCUGAUUAGCUGGUUGGCGGGGUAACGGCCCACCAAGGCGACGAUCAGUAGCCGGACUGAGAGGUUGAACGGCCACAUUGGGACUGAGAUACGGCCCAGACUCCUACGGGAGGCAGCAGUGGGGAAUAUUGGGCAAUGGGCGCAAGCCUGACCCAGCAACGCCGCGUGAAGGAAGAAGGCUUUCGGGUUGUAAACUUCUUUUAAGAGGGAAGAGCAGAAGACGGUACCUCUAGAAUAAGCCACGGCUAACUACGUGCCAGCAGCCGCGGUAAUACGUAGGUGGCAAGCGUUGUCCGGAUUUACUGGGUGUAAAGGGCGUGCAGCCGGGUCUGCAAGUCAGAUGUGAAAUCCAUGGGCUCAACCCAUGAACUGCAUUUGAAACUGUAGAUCUUGAGUGUCGGAGGGGCAAUCGGAAUUCCUAGUGUAGCGGUGAAAUGCGUAGAUAUUAGGAGGAACACCAGUGGCGAAGGCGGAUUGCUGGACGAUAACUGACGGUGAGGCGCGAAAGUGUGGGGAGCAAACAGGAUUAGAUACCCUGGUAGUCCACACUGUAAACGAUGAAUACUAGGUGUGCGGGGACUGACCCCCUGCGUGCCGCAGUAAACACAAUAAGUAUUCCACCUGGGGAGUACGAUCGCAAGGUUGAAACUCAAAGGAAUUGACGGGGGCCCGCACAAGCGGUGGAGUAUGUGGUUUAA